CGCCUUUUGAAUUUUUAAUAUAAAAGGUCCUGCCUGCCCAGUGACUUUGUUCAACGGCCGCGGUAUUAUGACCGUGCAAAGGUAGCGUAAUCACUUGUCUUUUAAAUAAAGACCAGUAUGAACGGCAAAACGAGGGCCUAACUGUCUCACUAGAUCAGUCAGUGAAAUUAAUCUCCCAGUGCAGAGGCUGGGAUAGAUAUAUAAGACAAGAAGACCCUGUGGAGCUUUAAACCUAAGCUAAUAUAUAGUAUACCAUAGCACCAGGUUUUAGGUUGGGGCGACCACAAGAAAAAAUAAACUCUUAAGAUAUUAACAAGAAGGACACUUCAAACAAAUGGUAAUACUAACACAUUGACCCAAUAUUUGAUCAACGAACCAAGUUACCCCAGGGAUAACAGCGCAAUCCACUCACAGAGCCCAUAUCGACGAGCGGGUUUACGACCUCGAUGUUGGAUCAGGACCACCUAAUGGUGCAACAACUAUUAAAGGUUCGUUUGUUCAACGAUUAAAGUCCU
rnacentral:rRNA from 1 species